ACGGGAAAAUGUCGUUUACGGUUU
rnacentral:siRNA from 1 species